AUUGAACGCUGGCGGCAGGCCUAACACAUGCAAGUCGAGCGAGCGGCGGACGGGUGAGUAAUGUAUGGGGAUCUGCCCGAUUGAGGGGGAUAACUACUGGAAACGGUUGCUAAUACCGCAUACCAUCGGAUGAACCCAAAUGGGAUUAGCUAGUAGGUGGGGGAAAGGCUCACAUAGGCGACGAUCUCUAGCUGGUCUGAGAGGAUGAUCAGCAACACUGGGACUGAGACACGGGCCAGACUCCUACGGGAGGAAGCAGUGGGGAAGAUUGCACAAUGGGCGCAAGCCUGAUGCAGCCAUGCCGCGGGUAUGAAGAAGGCCUUAGGGUUGUAAAGUACUUUCAGCGGGGAGGCGUUACCCGCAGAAGAAGCACCGGCUAACUCCGUGCCAGCAGCCGCGGUAAGUC
rnacentral:rRNA from 1 species